UCCCUGGUGGCUCAGAUGGUAAAGCAUCUGCCUGGAAUGCAGGAGACCCAGGUUUGAUCCCUGGGUUGGGAA
rnacentral:tRNA from 1 species